rnacentral:lncRNA from 10 species
GCAAUUCAGAGGCCCUCAGGCACCCACCUUUUACUCACAAUAGUUCUGGCAGGAGAUCUGACAAAAUGGAACCUGCGCUGACCAGAGAACACCUGACCAAAGUGUUUUUGUUGCUGGAAACCAGAGAGAGGCACCAAGAAAAGAGAUAUCACCUCAUCCUCCCAUCAACAGUGAAGAUCAUUUCCAUUCAAACCGGUUGACAUUAAUGAGCAACCACUUUGUAUAAGACCCUGAAGAGGAUAACAAAAAUGAUGGCAGAUUCCAGCCUCUGCCUGUACAUGGAUGGAGGGAGAAGCGAGUCUGAAAUGUGCCCAACUCCCUUCACAGCCUGUGAACCAGGGGAGCUGUGAUAACAGCCUCUAAAUACCCCAGGGUGGAGAUGCCAGGGCUGGCUACUCCUCGGCAAAAGUGUAGGGAGGAAACAGAAGAUCAGAAGGGGGAGUGACUGGGUACACUGUUUUCCUUGAUGAAAGCCAAAGUCUCAGACCUUUUCUUUAUUCCUGACCAAGAUCUAUUUAUUUAUCUGGACCCAUGUUUUUGGCUUAUUCCUGACAUUUCCCACUCCACUGAAGCACUGGCCCACAUCCUGUUGAUACUGGACCAAGACAACUCUUCCUCCUGAAGUUUAUGUAUUCUUUUUUUUUUUGAGAUGGAGUUUCACUCUGUCACUCAGGCUGGCGUCCAGUGGCACUAUCUUGGCUCACUGCAAUCUCUGCCUCCCAGGUUCAAGCGAUUCUCCUGGCUCAGCCUCCCGAGUAGCUGGGAUUACAGGCGCCCACCACCACGCCUGGCUAAUUUUUGUAUUUUUAGUAGAGACAGGGUUUUG